rnacentral:rRNA from 1 species
UACGGAGGGUGCGAGCGUUGUCCGGAAUCACUGGGCGUAAAGGGCGCGUAGGCGGCCUGAUAAGUAGGGGGUGAAAUCCUGCGGCUUAACCGCAGGGCUGCCUUCUAAACUGUCAGGCUUGAGCACAGUAGAGGCAGGUGGAAUUCCCGGUGUAGCGGUGGAAUGCGUAGAGAUCGGGAAGAACAUCAGUGGCGAAGGCGGCAUCCUGGACCAUUACUGACACUGAAAAGCGAAAGCCAGGGGAGCAAACGGG